AUGCUGAUAGCCUCCAUUGUCCUACCUGAUAAUAUUGAGACUGGAAUAAGAUUUCACCUUCAGUCUUAUCAGUUCUAUGAAGUAAGCCAAAAUCCCACACUAUCCUCCUCUGAGUCAAAAAGGAUUGCUCAAGUAUUCUUGAAAGCUGUUUCUGCUACUGACAUCUGCAUGAUGUUCAGGUAAUUGUUCAUGUAAGAGGGUAUUGUUUAGAAACCAGUUUGUACAAAAUGAUACUACUUGCUUUCCCCAUUCAGCAGUGGUUUACAGUUUGCUUCCAGAAGUAAUCUGAGAACAGAAGUGAUUUGAUCUCUGACCAUAGUGCCUCACAAGGAGCUUCUUCCCCCAUGUACUCUUAUGAUAACUGGAACAGUAAGAAUGGUUGGUGUAUUUCCCUAGCAGCUCCCUGUAUUUAAACAUUUAAAAUUAUAUAAAAACAAAUUUCAGUUUGCAAUAGCAGCGAUAACAGUUUACUUUUGACAGCAGUGAUGGCUGUAGGGCCAACAUUCAGCUCUACCUUACUGACCUCCAAUUCUGCCUGGCACUUCAGUACUACUGUUUUAUGCGCAUGUACAUUUUUUCAUAACAAAAUCAUUGUCUCUAACACAAAUGUAUAUCCUUAAGGAUAUAUGUGUAGACUGUUAAUUAUUAUGUUACCAGCAAGCAUUUAGAAAUUUCAUAAUACACAAUUACUUUACAUGGUGUUA
rnacentral:lncRNA from 1 species